AUUGAACGCUGGCGGCAGGCCUAACACAUGCAAGUCGAGCGAGCGGCGGACGGGUGAGUAAUGUCUGGGAAACUGCCCGCUGGAGGGGGAUAACUACUGGAAACGGUAGCUAAUAUCGCACACCAUCAGAUGUGCCCAGAUGGGAUUAGCUCGUAGGUGGGGUAACGGCUCACCUAGGCGACGAUCCCUAGCUGGUCUGAGAGGAUGACCAGCCACACUGGAACUGAGACACGGUCCAGACUCCUACGGGAGGCAGCAGUGGGGAAUAUUGCACAAUGGGCGCAAGCCUGAUGCAGCCAUGCCGCGUGUGUGAAGAAGGCCUUCGGGUUGUAAAGCACUUUCAGCGGGGAGGCGUUACCCGCAGAAGAAGCACCGGCUAACUCCGUGCCAGCAGCCGCGGUAAUUC
rnacentral:rRNA from 1 species